UACAUGGGGUGCAAACGUUGCUCGGAAUUAUUGGGCGUAAAGCGCACGUAGGCGGUUUGUUAAGUCGGAUGUGAAAUCCCUCGGCUCAACUGAGGAAGUGCACCCGAAACUGGCAGGCUUGAGUACUAAAGAGGGUCGCGGAAUUCCCGGUGUAGAGGUGAAAUUCGUAGAUAUCGGGGGGAACACCGGUGGCGAAGGCGGCGACCUGGGUAGAUACUGACGCUGAGGUGCGAAAGCGUGGGGAGCAAACAGGG
rnacentral:rRNA from 1 species